AUUGAACGCUGGCGGCAGGCUUAGCACAUGCAAGUCGAGCGGAGAUGAGGUGCUUGCACCUUAUCUUAGCGGCGGACGGGUGAGUAAUGCUUAGGAAUCUGCCUAUUAGUGGGGGACAACAUUCCGAAAGGAAUGCUAAUACCGCAUACGUCCUACGGGAGAAAGCAGGGGAUCUUCGGACCUUGCGCUAAUAGAUGAGCCUAAGUCGGAUUAGCUAGUUGGUGGGGUAAAGGCCUACCAAGGCGACGAUCUGUAGCGGGUCUGAGAGGAUGAUCGGCCACACGGGAACGGAGACACGGCCCAGACUCCUACGGGAGGCAGCAGGGGGAAAUUUGGGACAAUGGGGGAAACCCUGUACCAGCCAUGCGGCGUGUGUAAAGAAGGCCUUAUGUUUUUAAAGCACUUAAGGCGGGGAGGAGGCAACUGAGACUAAUACUCUUGGAUGGUGGACGUUACUCGAAGAAAAAGCACCGGCUAACUCUGCGCAAGCCGCCCCCGUAA
rnacentral:rRNA from 1 species